rnacentral:tRNA from 1 species
GGCAGUGUGGCCUAGUAGAUAAAGCAGUAGCCUAGUCUAUAGGAGACGCAAGUUCCAUUCUUGGCUCUGCCA